rnacentral:rRNA from 1 species
AGUGAACGCUGGCGGUAGGCCUAACACAUGCAAGUCGAACGGCAGCACAGUAAGAGCUUGCUCUUACGGGUGGCGAGUGGCGGACGGGUGAGGAAUACAUCGGAAUCUACUUUUUCGUGGGGGAUAACGUAGGGAAACUUACGCUAAUACCGCAUACGACCUACGGGUGAAAGCAGGGGAUCUUCGGACCUUGCGCGAUUGAAUGAGCCGAUGUCGGAUUAGCUAGUUGGCGGGGUAAAGGCCCACCAAGGCGACGAUCCGUAGCUGGUCUGAGAGGAUGAUCAGCCACGCUGGAACUGAGACACGGUCCAGACUCCUACGGGAGGCAGCAGUGGGGAAUAUUGGACAAUGGGCGCAAGCCUGAUCCAGCCGUACCGCGUGGGUGAAGAAGGCCUUCGGGUUGUAAAGCCCUUUUGUUGGGAAAGAAAAGCAGCAGGUUAAUACCCCGCUGUUCUGACGGUACCCAAAGAAUAAGCACCGGCUAACUUCGUG